rnacentral:tRNA from 3 species
AAAUGAUUCUGAUCUCUUUUGGGAGAGAUGGCCGAGAGGAUUAAAGCGUCGGAUUGCUAAUCCGUCGUAC